CAAAAGUGCAACUUCUGUCUCGCAUUAAAAUCUAGAGCCAGAAAAAACAGGGAGAUCACAGGGCCAAAUGCCGAGGCUGUUAGACUGGCAGUCUCCAAGUAAGUCAGCUACCUGUAUCAUCUCCAAGGCUUACUCCCCAAAGACCCAAGAUUCCUCUCAUAAGACUUCCAAACACCAUACCACAAGUUCUCCUGGUAGGAGGUUGCUGGUGGAAGUUGAAGUUGCCGGUGACUCCAGCCACUUCGGCUCCCAUUGGUCUCUGACCUGGUACCCAUGAGGCUGCUGAUUCCUCAGGUACCGAGGGCUCUGUUAUGCCUAGAGACCCCAACAUUUUGGGCUCUGAUAGACCAUUGGUACUGACAGAGGAGCGAGGCAGCAAGAAGAGAUCUACCUCUUCAGACUCCGUACCAAAAAAAGACCACUUGGUCGCCAUCUGGACUCCCAUCAGGGCAUUUGAGAUUCAUAGUACUGUCAGCUCUCUCUGCUACCAUUACUUUGGCUCAAGCUAUGGACAUGGCUAUGGGCACAGGAACCUCAUCGUCGUUGGAUGCACAAAUACAGAAUAACCUUCUAUUGGAGAAUGGAAACGCGUGAUGGCUUCCAAGUGGACGCUAAAAACUCAGCAACAGCCCCAAGUUUUUUAGUUCUAGAAUGUAAUCCAAUAUGUCUGCAGCAAAAUGAAGGUGUCAGUGGAAUGUGUUUGAGGUCACACCAGCAAGCAAAUCUUACCCAUUUUUAUAAGUAAAUGUAAUACGUACAUGCUUUUCUGCUGUGUAAUAGCACUCUUUUUACUUCCUCUGAACAGGUCAUUUCUAAUCCCGUGAACCAUUGACCAGCCAUGCUUUGAGGCAAAGAACUCCGAUCUUGGGGGUGAAGGAUCUUCCCACGUUCCUGAGAGAGAAGAUGAGGAGCUACCUGGAGAGUGAUUGUAGGACUUUGGAUAUUAGAGGAGUUGAGGGGAACGCAUACAGUAGACCUGAUGACCACUGAAGGUGAAAGGCAUCCCCCAAGGAUCAGUGGUUCAGCCUGCCUCCAGAGCAGAACUGGGUGCCCCAUUGCCGGAAUAGUGAUGAAGUAUGAUGAGAUCUAUCUCCCACUCACGGUCUCGAGAGAAGUGCCUGCUGAGUGUGUCUGCCAUCACAUUCUGAACUCCUGGGAGAAAGAAGAUUAAAGCAAGAUCAAGAAAAAAUGAAAAACUGAUAAAACGGAGAAUGUGCCCUCAUGCAGGUUUCUUUUGUGUCAUCAGUUUCCCAUCACAAAUGGUACAUUUCUGUACACUGCCUCUUAGUUUCCUUCUUGAUUACCAGUAAAGUCUAAUGCAUUUUCAG